CAGUAGCCACGGGAAUACGGAGGGAGCUAGCGUUGUUCGGAAUUACUGGGCGUAAAGCGCACGUAGGCGGCGAUUCAAGUCAGAGGUGAAAGCCCGGGGCUCAACCCCGGAACUGCCUUUGAAACUAGAUUGCUAGAAUCCUGGAGAGGUGAGUGGAAUUCCGAGUGUAGAGGUGAAAUUCGUAGAUAUUCGGAAGAACACCAGUGGCGAAGGCGACUCACUGGACAGGUAUUGACGCUGAGGUGCGAAAGCGUGGGGAGCAAACAGGAUUAGAUACCCGAGUAGUCCCUGUCUCUUAUAC
rnacentral:rRNA from 1 species